rnacentral:rRNA from 1 species
AUUGAACGCUGGCGGCAGGCUUAACACAUGCAAGUCGAGCGGGGGAAGGUAGCUUGCUACCGGACCUAGCGGCGGACGGGUGAGUAAUGCUUAGGAAUCUGCCUAUUAGUGGGGGACAACAUCUCGAAAGGGAUGCUAAUACCGCAUACGUCCUACGGGAGAAAGCAGGGGAUCUUCGGACCUUGCGCUGAUAGAUGAGCCUAAGUCGGAUUAGCUAGUUGGUGGGGUAAAGGCCUACCAAGGCGACGAUCUGUAGCGGGUCUGAGAGGAUGAUCCGCUACACUGGGACUGAGACACGGCCCAGACUCCUACGGGAGGCAGCAGUGGGGAAUAUUGGACAAUGGGGGGAACCCUGAUCCAGCCAUGCCGCGUGUGUGAAGAAGGCCUUAUGGUUGUAAAGCACUUUAAGCGAGGAGGAGGCUCUUUUGGUUAAUACCCAGAAUGAGUGGACGUUACUCGCAGAAUAAGCACCGGCUAACUCUGUGCCAGCAGCCGCAGUAA